CCUACGGGAGGCAGCAGUAGGGAAUUUUGCUCAAUGGGCGAAAUCCUGACGCAGCAACACCGCGUGAGUGUUGAGCCCUUCAGGGUGUAUAAUUCUGUCAAUAGGGACGAAUUUUGACUGUACCUAUCCCGGACGCAGCGGCUAACUCCGUGCCCGCAGCCGCGGUAAUACGGGGGGUGCCAGCGUUGUCCGGAAUAAUUGGGCGUAAAGCGUUCGUAAGCGGCAAUGUAAGUCUGAUGUUAAAGCGCGGGGGUCAACUCCGGUUCGGCAUUGGAUACUAGCUAGCUAGAAUGUGGUAGAGGUAAAGGGAAUUCCUGGUGUAGCGGUGAAAUGCGUAGAUAUCAGGAGGAACACCGGUGGCGAAAGCGCUUUACUGGACCAUUACUGACGCUGAGGAACGAAAGCCAGGGGAGCAAAUGGGAUUAGAUACCCUUGUAGUC
rnacentral:rRNA from 1 species